UAGACAGACAGAGGGAUUCUAGUUACCGGAAACCUUCAUGUGGCAACUGGAUUUAUUGGAUAUGUGUCCUGUAUAUUGGGACAGCCCAGACUUGAGCCAGAAUUCUUACACUUUAUCAGAAGUUGUGUACGAAGCAAACACCAGUUGGCUUCCAUGAACACUGGAGUCAAUGAGAUCAUUCAGAUGAGUAACUGCUCAUCUACGUUCUAAUUAAAAUAAGAACUGAUCCAAAGCAACACCCUAAACUCAGACUGAGCCGAGUGAGGCAUACCGCUCAACUGUCUCUCCUUUUAGCCCCAGAUGACCUACAUCUCACAUGUUGUGGAGUUUCCAUUUCGUUCAGCAAAAUUCAAUAUCUUCCAUUGUUUGUGCUGUUGUUGUAGCCAUGUUGUUACUCUGCGCACCUUGCCCAGACCUGAAGAAGAACUCUGUGUAGCUUGAAAGCUUGUCUCUUCCA